rnacentral:tRNA from 1 species
UCCCUGGUAGCCUAGUGAAUUAAGGAUCUGGCAUUGUCACUGCUGUGGCUCAGGUUCAAUCCCUGGCCUGGGAA